GUGUGCAGCUUACCGUGAGCAAUACGGAACCGGUGCACGGUGAUUGGGUGCGUUGCACGUGGGCCACCUGCCCUUGGAUGGGGAAUAACUCGCCGAAAGGCGAGCUAAUACCGCAUAACAUCCCGGAAACUCUUGUUUCUGGAUUCAAAGCCCGCAAGGGCGUCCAAGGUGGGGCCCGCGCCCGAUUAGCUUGUUGGCGAGGUAACGGCUCACCAAGGCUUUGAUCGGUAGCCGGUCUGAGAGGAUGGCCGGCCACACUGGAACUGAGACACGGUCCAGACUCCUACGGGAGGCAGCAGUGGGGAAUCUUGCGCAAUGGGCGAAAGCCUGACGCAGCGACGCCGCGUGGGGGAUGAAGCUUUUCGGAGUGUAAA
rnacentral:rRNA from 1 species